AUGAGGCUUUGGCUCCACUUUGUUCUCAUUACAGCAGCUUUGGAAGGUGUCCGCUCGCAGAUCCAGCUGGUGGAGUCUGGAGGGGAUGUGAAAAAGCCCGGAGACUCUCUCCGCCUCUCCUGCAAAGCCUCCGGCUUCACCUUCAGCAGCUACGGGAUGAGCUGGGUCCCCCAGGCUCCCGGGAAGGGAUUAGAAUGGGUCGCUUAUAUCAGCAGCGGUGGGAGUCCUGUAUACUACCUCGAUUCAGUGAAAGGGCGAUUCACCAUCUCCAGGGAUAACUCCAAGAGUGAGCUGUAUCUGCAAAUGACCGGCCUGAAGCCCGAGGACACCGCCCGGUAUCACUGUGCGAGAGACACACGCUGGGUCCGUCUGGAGCGGGUCUCCAGGGCAGAGUCCAUGGGAAAGAGUUCACACGACACCGAUUCAGCGAAACAAGGGCCAUUCAUUGCCUCCCGAGACAAUCCCAACAACCGGCUGUAUUUACAAACGAGCAGCCGGAGACCCGAGGACACAGGCCGGAAUCACUGUGUGAGAGACUAG